rnacentral:RNase_P_RNA from 1 species
CCAGAUGGCCGGAUGGCCGCUCCCCGGAUCGCGCAAGCCCCGGGGGGAGGAAAGUCCGGGCUCCACGGGAACACGGUGCCGGGUAAUGCCCGGCGGGGGCGACCCUAGGGAAAGUGCCACAGAAAGCAAACCGCCCGGUCCCGCCUUUGGGCAGGCCGGGUAAGGGUGAAAGGGUGCGGUAAGAGCGCACCGCGCCGCCGGUAACGGCGGUGGCAAGGCAAACCCCACCGGGAGCAAGAUCAAAUAGGGACCCAGGCCUUCGGGCAGGCGCGUUCCCGCGCCGGGUCCGGGUAGGUCGCGCGAGGCGUCCGGCGACGGGCGUCCCAGAUGAAUGGCCAUCCAUCGGGGGUCCGCCCCCGGGGACAGAACCCGGCUUACAGGCCGUCUGGCACA